GCCGGGUGCGGUGGUCCACGCCUGUAAUCCCAGCGGCUAGGGAGGCUGGGACAGGAGGAUCGCAAGUUCAAAGCCAGCCUCAGCAUUGGCGCGCUAAGCAACUUAGUGAGACCCUGUCUCUA
rnacentral:sRNA from 1 species